GACGAACGCUGGCGGCGUGCUUAACACAUGCAAGUCGAACGAUGAACCAGGGCUUGCCCUGGGGAUUAGUGGCGAACGGGUGAGUAACACGUGGGCAACCUGCCCCAGACACCGGGAUAACCUCUCGAAAGAGUGGCUAAUACCGGAUACGACCACUUUGGGCAUCCAACGGUGGUGGAAAGGAGUCUGGUCUGGGAUGGGCCCGCGGCCUAUCAGCUUGUUGGUGGGGUAAUGGCCUACCAAGGCGACGACGGGUAGCCGGCCUGAGAGGGCGACCGGCCACACUGGGACUGGGACACGGCCCAGACUCCUACGGGAGGCAGCAGUGGGGAAUAUUGCGCAAUGGGCGAAAGCCUGACGCAGCGACGCCGCGUGAGGGACGAAGGUCUUCGGAUUGUAAACCUCUUUCAGCAGGGACGAAGCGAAAGUGACUGUACCUGCAGAAGAAGCACCGGCUAACUACGUGCCAGCCGCCGCGGUAACAC
rnacentral:rRNA from 1 species